rnacentral:lncRNA from 1 species
UUGUAACUGCUCCUUGGUUGACAUUUUUCUUGAACGAUACCACUGUUUAAGUGCCUUGUCCCUGCUAGACUAAAACAAUAUAUAUAAGGAACAUAAUGAGAUUUGUUAUAUCCAAAAACAUGCAUAGAUAAGUAAAAUACAAGCUUUCAUGUGCUUAUAAUAUCCAAAAACAUGCAUAGAUGAAUCACAGGUUUACAUUACAGUUCAGUGAGUUUUGAUAUAUUUGCUUAAUUUAUUUAUACAUAUUCUGACAUUUAUUUAUAAAGUUUAACUUGAAAUCAUAGAUUAUGUUCAACACACAAAAGCCGUAUCUAAAUCGAAUUUCUAAUCACUCUCAUAACUAUGGGAAGACCCUUCCUCAUUAAAAUAAACUUGACUCUCCCUAUAGAUAGAUUGUGUACACUUGGGUAGAGGACAAAAAUAAGCUUAAGUUCGACCCCCUAAUAUCAUAAGUGGAAUUAUGUUGUAAGCAGCAUUGCCAACAUACUCAGACUCAAGCCAUGAAACAGUUCCAUUUCAGCAUAUGUGAUGGGCGGUAGACCGGAUUUCACACCUUGAAUUGAAACACUCAAACAAAUGCUUGAAACAAAAGACAUUAUAUACAAGCCAUAGGAUACAUUAAUAGGUUAUUAAUACAAGUAAAUAACCAAAUAAUAAACAUGAAGAUGUAGUAAAACAUGGGAUUUUUCUACUUAAGUUAUAUAAGAGGGAAUAUUUGAUCAUCCAAAAUGAAGUAUUCAAAUUUUUUUGAUAGUUACUACCAUAAUCUCAUUCAUUUCCUCUAGAAAAGAAAUCUAAAUUCAUUAUAGCCUUUGGCGAGACAUGAAUGACAUUAUUUGUUCUACUCUGCUCCUUUGACUAUUCAAAGUCAUUCAGAGUUUUGUUAUAUUUGAGAGACAUAUAAGUUUUCUUUUUCAGUAAGAAAAAAGAAGUGGGCAUGAACACAAGAUUGAGAUUUUGAUGUGCAAUUCCUUUAGGCACUUAUAAAAGAGAGCAGAAGGCACAAUAAAAAAAUUCUCCAUUUUUUUGGUAAAAUCAUUUUAGAAUCAGUUAUAAAUCAGUAAGUAAAGUAAAGCAAAUCUUUUUGUUCUAUCAUUUUCAAAAUGCAAUAUGCAUUACAACUGAUGGACAAUGCUCUCCUUUUUUAUGAAAUUACUUUCUAGACUAUGGCAUAGAAUACAAGUUAUCUAUACAUUUUUAUGGUUUAGCUUUACUCAUCUUUUGGCAGAUUCAGGGAGGUUCUAAACUUGGAACAAACAUGUAGAGAAAAUAGAGAAGCAUCUACUCUGCUCAAGAUGAAUUCAUCUCUAGCUACAAUAACCUAGCUGCUACUGCCUUUCAACAACUUCUAAAUUUUCUGUUAAUUAAAUCAAUUUAUUAACAAAUGAUAUGCUGGGUCUUUCCAAGAACACUUUAAUGAUAUUGAGAAAGGCUCACUUUAAUACAAGGGCACCAGUACAGAUGAUAUGCUGAAUCUUUCCAGGAACAAGCAUAGAUUUAAACUUAGCAGGAAGACCAGCAGCCCUAUGCGGGAUGUGAAGAUCGCCAAAUGCUAAUACCAGCACCAUCUUCCUCUAAACCCGAUCAACUACUCAAAAAUUAAAUAUACGAUCGACAAUCUGAGAUACCAAGACAUCCCGUCAAGGUUGCACACUGAAUUUUCUUUAAGAAUUUUCCAUUUUGUCUAGCAAUAAUUUGUUUAAGUAUUAAUCACAGCCUUAAAUAUCUUACGCUCCUUUUCUGUAGGAGACAAGCAGUCACCUGGGAAAUUCUAGAAGACAAUUUGACUCGGGGUAUUCAGACAAGCAGUCACAAAAAUACAUUAUUCAAACAAGAAGGAAGCAGUCUAUUACAGAUUUACUUAUACGAAUUUUGUAAAUUAAAAAAUUCAAAUAAACUGAAGGAAAAACAAUCACACUCAAAUCUUCCAAGCAAAUUGCAAUCAUGACAAGUUGUAGUGGAAGAAGAGCUAACGUUGUCUAAGGGAAAAAGAGUGCAACGUGUGCUUUAAGAUCCAAAGCUUCGUGCCGAUCCUUGUCGAUAGCCUGCAAGUGAUAGUCGAAAAAAUAGAAAGAAUUGGAAUGGGGUCGUACCUUCAUUCAAAU